UGGGGAAUAUUGGACAAUGGGCGCAAGCCUGAUCCAGCCAUGCCGCGUGAGUGAUGAAGGCCCUAGGGUUGUAAAGCUCUUUCACCGGUGAAGAUAAUGACGGUAACCGGAGAAGAAGCCCCGGCUAACUUCGUGCCAGCAGCUGCGGUAAUACGAAGGGGGCUAGCGUUGUUCGGAUUUACUGGGCGUAAAGCGCACGUAGGCGGACUUUUAAGUCAGGGGUGAAAUCCCGGGGCUCAACCCCGGAACUGCCUUUGAUACUGGAAGUCUUGAGUAUGGUAGAGGUGAGUGGAAUUCCGAGUGUAGAGGUGAAAUUCGUAGAUAUUCGGAGGAACACCAGUGGCGAAGGCGGCUCACUGGACCAUUACUGACGCUGAGGUGCGAAAGCGUGGGGAGCAAACAGG
rnacentral:rRNA from 1 species